UACGUAGGGGGCAAGCGUUAUCCGGAUUUACUGGGUGUAAAGGGAGCGUAGACGGCGAUGCAAGUCUGAAGUGAAAGGCGGGGGCCCAACCCCCGGACUGCUUUGGAAACUGUAUGGCUGGAGUGCAGGAGAGGUAAGUGGAAUUCCUAGUGUAGCGGUGAAAUGCGUAGAUAUUAGGAGGAACACCAGUGGCGAAGGCGGCUUACUGGACUGUAACUGACGUUGAAGCUCGAAAGCGUGGGGAGCAAACAGG
rnacentral:rRNA from 1 species